ACCCUGAGGCACUGUGGAAGCUGGCGGGGCAGCGAGCUGACGCGGGGCGUGACACUGCCUGCAGAGAUUGUGCUCAGACCCUGGAGAUAGGAAUUGUCAUUUGCUUGUUAGCCUCCUGCUGGCAGAAGCAGUUUCCUCUUUGUUUUGAGCCAAAGGCUCCCUUUCUCCCUCACAGCUUUUAAAGGUUUCUCCAUAAGAACGAAAUAAGGGGUUUCUCCCUGGAAGAAAAGGGCUUUUGAACAAUGGGUGGAAGUACAAAGGGGUGAAUGACAGGCUUCGGCUGCCUGACAAGCAGCUGGAGUGAGGGGCCUUUGAGUUUGCAAAUAGGAAUCAUUGUGAUGGGUGUUUGCGGAGUUACUUAUUCAUUAGAUCUCUUUUCACGAAGUUAAUGAACUUACCACAGACUGAUCCUGCUCCUAAUUUAGUUGGUGUCACUCACAGUUCUGCGGGGCUCGGGACAGAUCUGUGGAUUUCUGAGCUAAUCCCAGGUGUUAAGCGAGCAGCUGCCUUUUACCUGUGCAGGCCGAGGUUGAUGUCUUUCAGAGUGCCCUUCAGAAAGGCAUUUGGGCUUCCCUUAAAAGAGCCAAGAGGAGAAUCACUCCUUCCUCGUGUAGCUUGUUCCACAGGUUAACAACCCACAUUCUGAGACAUUUCUGCUUUAAGCAUAUCUGGCUUUCCCUCUUGACUGUUGCUUCUUGCCGUGCUUUUACAACCAGUUUUCCUGUGUUCCUUUCACACAGGAACAUCUGAACACUGUGCAGCAUUCCAGGAUAUUGCCACCAACUGUGCUUCAUACUCAAGGAAACUUCAAAAGCCUGUAUUUACUCACCCCUCUUUGUAGGACUGCAGUAGCACAUUUAGCUCUGAAGGCACUGUGAUAUUUGUGUCUAAACCAUGAACCCUGAGUUGGAAAAUCUCUGAAACAAUCAAAAGUAACUGCUACGAGCAUUUGGCAUUUGGAAGUUCUCAGAGAUCUGCAUCUGAGGACAUAGUGUAGGUGACUGUGCAGGAGGAAAACUGAGUAGAUUCAUGGCUACAGAUUCCAGCUGGGAGUUAAAAGACCUACCCAUUCACACUAACAAGAAAAUACAGCAUUUUAGAAGAGCAGUUCCUAUUCCACUUAGUACUUCUAAGUGUUACUGUACUACAAACAAACAAUACCACUGGGCAUACAGCUUGCAAAUCUUGCUCUCAGCUAGUCCAGCUGAGGGAUUACUCACAUACUGAUGCUGAAAGAGCUGUGUAUUGCAGAUUUUUAAUAAAAGCUUUCUUCACU
rnacentral:lncRNA from 7 species